CCUUUUGGAGGCUGUUUAAAUAUUUACCUUCUCUGCCCUUCUCAUCCCACCAUCCUUCAAACCAGAGAAGGGAACAUUUAUCCACAUGCAGCCUGGAAGAUGCUUUGGGGUAAAAAAAAAAAGAAGAAGAAGAGAAAGAAAAUCAGAGCAGAAUGCCGUUUUUGAGAACGCCCUCCGCCUCCGCGGCAUCGCACGGAUCUGCAGCUUCCGCCGCCCCCGCAGGAGCCCCGCGCUGCCCGGCUCCCCCGCACACACAUGCGCGAUGUGCGAUGGGGGCUUCCCCCGGGCCCCCGGGCAGCGCUGGGAAAGGCCAAACCUGCCACGGUCCUUUCACAGCUCUGCAAGAGCAUCCCCGCCUCGCUGGCGCAUCCCCGCAUCCCGCACCGCGGUGACAGCCCCGGGCCGGGGGAAGCGCUCGGUCCCCGCUCCAUCGUCCCUCGCUAGGAAGGAUUCCCGCUAAAUAAACAGCAGCUGCUGGUGAAGCGGA